CCUACGGGAGGCUGCAGUGAGGAAUAUUGGUCAAUGGGCGUAAGCCUGAACCAGCCAAGUCGCGUGAGGGAUGAAGGUUCUAUGGAUCGUAAACCGCUGUUAUAAGGGAAUAAAGUGCGGGACGUGUCCCGUUUUGUAUGUACCUUAUGAAUAAGGAUAGGCUAACUCCGUGCCAGCAGCCGCGGUAAUACGGAGGAUCCGAGCGUUAUCCGGAUUUAUUGGGGUUAAAGGGUGCGUAGGCGGCCUUUUAAGUCAGCGUUGAAAGUCUGUGGCUCAACCGUAGAAUUGCCGUUGAAACUGGGAGGCUUUAGUAUGUUUGAGGCAGGCGGAAUGC
rnacentral:rRNA from 1 species